rnacentral:lncRNA from 1 species
UUGGGAUAGAAAGUAAUACAACAUACAAUUUAGACCUAUAUUUGGCGUAAGGUCUUUUGUAGACCUUGCAAUAUUGUACACGAAACAAAUUCACACAAAAAAAUAAGUAUUCGAGUUGGGGCUUAAUGGGUCGUGUUGAAAAUGGGUGGACGUGUUAAGCUAACAAGUCGUGUCGUGUGAAUUCGCGAAUACCCGUUAUCACCCGUCAAGAAUAUGAAAAUUUUGUAAUUAUAUAUAUCUUUCCUUUUUCCUUUUUCUUCCCUUCUACACUACCCCAACUCUUCUUUGGUUGAUUUUUUUUUUUUUUUUUUCAGUUUUUUUUUUUUUUUGUAAUUAAUUUUUUUCUUCAGUUUUUUAAAAUUCUCAACGGGUGAAUCAAGUCAUUCGUUAUUUUAACAGGUCCUGUGUGUCAAUGGGGUGAAGAGAACAAUGGUGGAGCCACCAUGGGGUCAAUGGGGCAGACGACCCCAUGGCAACCCUGGGUAUUGGUUGGAGCUCCCUGGUUUUGCCCUUGGCAACCAUGGGAGCAACCCCAUGGAGAAGAAGAAGCUGCUUCGUGUGCAGCAGCUUUAGUUCUAAUUUUUUUAAACCACCUGGAAAAAAGAGGUCCUUUUAGCCAAGGCUUUUUUUUUAAAAUGACCUGGCCCAAACGACACCGUUUUGGGCCAAGCCUUAAAAAAAAUUAUAAAAAACAGACCUAUCAUUUCCCCAUUCCAACCCCCACCUGAUAGUUAACCCUCCCAAACCCCUUCCCCUAAUUGAUAUAUCCUUUAUAAUCUUAAAGAAAUUGAUAAAUCCUAAAUUAAUGUUCUAAACUCUGGCCUAAAUCAAGUGAGUAGGAGGAUAAAUGUAAUGAAUUAGAAUUUAUUUGGGUUAAGAAUUAUAAUUUUAUUGAAACUGUUAUAUGUAAUGAAUUAGAAUUUAUUGGUAUGAUAUUGAUAUUGUUUGAUUUUUUUUUUCAAGUACAAGCGAUGGUCUAAACUAGAGGGGAGGGGAAUUGAUUGAUUUUGUUAUUUAGAUUAGAGUUUAUAUUGAUUGUUAUUUGUACUGUUUUUUAUGGAUUAGAAUUUAUUGAUUAAUUUUAUUAUUUGGAUAAUUGGAUUAGAGUUUAUAUUGAUUGAUAUUGUUAUUCAAAUUAAUCAGUUUAUAAUUGAUUGAUUGAAUUAAUUAAUAUGUAGAAUUAUGGAACAAAACUUUUAGAGAAAAUUACCCAUUGAUAAUUCGUCUAAUCCAAGUAGUUCAAGUGCAAGAGCAAGACCGAUUGAGUUAGAUGAGAUAUUGAAAAUUGUAAUUUGUAUUGAUAGUUUUUCAAUGAAUUAUGAAUGGAAGUAUUAUAUUUCUGUUUUUUAGUAUAUUUUCUUUUUGAAGAAAUUUUGACACUUUUACUCUAUGACCCUAUGAGGUUACAAUCCUGGAUCAGCCACUAGAAGAGAAGGCCAGCAUUCUAACGGUUUGAAAAUAAGGGGAAUAGUGAUUGAAUGAAUUUUUAAUUUUUUAAUAUUGUAACAAGCAAAACGGCUGAAAUAAUGCUCCCACACGUGACCAGCACAUGCCACUUCUGCCAAGGCAAAAGAUGUAAUUGUGGAUGCAUCUUGAAUUACAUUUCCAACAUAGAAAACACUGAAAGUACAUGGACCUUAUUGCAACUCAACUAAAUUAUGGGGACCAAAAGUGAAAUUUGGCAUUUUACUAUUAAUUAAUCUCUGCAAUAUGUUAGAAGCUAAAAGGAACAUAUAGUCACACUUGUCGUACCCCAGGUAAAUUUCACACAGAUUAUUGAAAUCGCCUAUUCAGUAUCGGGGACAAGAAAUCGAUGCAUGCAGUGGAUCACUGCAAAGCAUAAUAAACUAGAUACAUAGAAUAAUCCUAACAAAUAUCCCAAUAAAGAACUUGAACAUACCUCCCAAUCAAGGUAGUGGCUAGCAGUUUCAUAAUCAGUCAGAAUGGAAACUGUACAUUCCAAAUAAGGUAAUUCCUUCAGUUGUAUUGGGGGGAACCUACGGUCCUUCAAAGCACUGCAGAACAUUAACAAGGAGGACCAAAUGACUAUAUAAUACACCCAAAAAAAAAACAGAAAAGAAGACACUGCAUUAGUUGAGGAAAAUAACAAAUAACAUAUAAUAAAAAAAAGAGCAGUUUAAACCAGGUAAAGGAGCAUUAAUUUUAGUUUGGAAGUAUGCGAGGGAAAGAUUUUGGACCUCCAACCAGGAGUUGGGACACAAUACCAUAAGUUGCAAGGAUUAGGGCCCUCAAAAUGCCAAUAUCAGCUAGGCAUGGUGUGGCAUUGCUUGUGACUUUGCCCGUUUAUAUAUCUGAUCUAGAUUAAACAAAUAUGCCCUUAUGUAAUCCUAAUGGGGAAAAUGGAUAUGUCUAAUUAGACUAGGAUAAGAGUUAUCCUUCUAGUCUCCUAGUCUGAGUAAGCAAACAUUAAGGCACCUUUGAAAAGGAGUGGCCUUAUAACUGAAACUCUCCCUCUAGGGAAAAAAGAAAAAAAAAAAAGCAGCGAGCAUAGAGAAAAUUCCUUGUAAUUGCUGCACGCGCCCUAUCACUUCCAAAAGCAAGGUGCAUCCAUUACUUAGCUGCACCAAAUAUACUUUGCCCCCAAUCUCUAGUUCCAUUUCUUUUUUCUUUUGUGGAUAAAAACCAAGACGUGAUGCCCAUCAUCACACCCUUGAGAGGUUUAUCAGGCGGUGGUGUGAAGAACACUUGUGGAACAUCAAGAAUGUGGUAUGACCAUACCAAAAAGAUCAAGAAUGUGGAUCAUACAAAAAAGAUAUAGUGCAGGAUUCGACAUUGUGAUAUCAUGCGACCAAGAUUGCAUGCAUGAACUUCCUCUUCUUUAACAACUAAGCGUAGCAAGGUAUAAAUGCUAAUCCUUAAUGAUUAGCUUAAUGAUUAGUUCUAUAAAAAGGGAAGGAAAUAAUUAAUAACUAAAUCUGAUGGCAUCAAGGUAACAAACUUGACCAUCCUUUUGAUGUGCUCUUUGCUAAUUUGCUAAAUGGCACUACAUAUGGUCCAUCCCAACUAAAUUUCUGGCCCAUCUAUCCAUUGCACUUCUCUUCAAUCCAUAGGAGCAUAGAUGUGCACGCACAGACAAACACAAACAUGGUAUCCUCAUAGUUCAUAUUGAACAAUCUGCUUUUGCAAAAAUAAAGUAUGAAUUCAGAUACAUCAUUCAUGAUUUACAAAAUUUAGAGUUACCUGCCUUGAAAACAUAAAAUUAAAAAUGCACAAGCAUCCACAAACAAUGCACACACAUAUAAAUAUCACAUAUGCACACACUGUCAAAGACUUAUCUGAAAUAACAAAGGAAGAUAUAGAAAACAUGCAGACACAUUACCGCGCAGACACAUUACUGCGCGUUUAUGUGACCGCAUAUGAUACAGAAAUGGUCAAGAUGUAAAGUACAUGAUCUGUUGUAAUACCUGUUUAGAGCAUAGUCCUUGAAUCCAUUCAUCAAGCUACGAGCUUCUAGUGUUCCAAUGCAUCCACGCAAACGAGUCUCACUACCAUUCACCACUUUCUUCCAAGUAACAAACAAUGGACUGAGACCAAGGUAUUGUUAAUAUCAGAUGAGAAAGUCAAAAGUAUCAAGGUUCUGCUUUUUAAGACAUACAUCAAUAUAUAUACAGUUUUUCUCAAAUCCGGAUGUGCGGAUUUUUUUGACGUUUGGUGAUGUUUUAAGCCAUUGUGUGCUGGUCUUUUAAAUUCUCUGUCAUAAUAGCCUAUAUUGGGAGCGUAGAAAGCUUCAUAUUCUUGCAACUAGAUGCCUCUUCUUUCAUAUUUUAUUACUUUCUCAACUUUAGUUCAAGUACAACUGUAGUGCAUAGGACCUCUCGUUUUCUAAUUUAUCACCUUUCUUACUUCAUAUUUCAGUCACUGACGGACUAUUCAAUCAUGACUGGACUGUUUCAAUUACCAAUGCAUUAUCUGCAACCAACAUUGCUUUCUUUCAGUGGCUUAAAUCUAGAGAACUUACAGAUUGUACAUAUAUAUGGAUGGGUCUAUUGUGUUGUGUGUUCAAAGACAAGUUAAUAAACUAAUUUUUGGACUGCUGGUCAUCCUCACAUUAGAUAUUUACAGCUAAGAUGCAUUUCAUCCACUCUUACAAGGAAACCUUUGCUCAACAAAUUGAAGAUGCUUGCACCUGUAGCAAUCCUCGUUUAUGUUUAGAAAUCUAAAGAACAGCCAGACAAGUUCAUUCUCAUAAUCAGAACGGAUCUCAACCAAAAAUGGAACUAAAUGUAUAUCCUAUCCCUUUUUAACUAGGACUGAUUUUGAACAAGGAGGGUUCAAUAGGUGGCCUCCCAACACCACACUUAUAACUUAUUAACCCAUCCCUAUAAAAGUUGUUUUGAAUGGCAAUACAGGAGAUUACCCAAAUAAAGCAUGGGUGAGCUAACUUAAACUUCAACAAUCACAUGAAAAAUCAUAAAUUAUAAAUAAUAAAAAAAAUCUUUAAAAUAGAAAAACACCAUGCCAUCAUCACAAUUUCUAGAAAUAGUUAAUUUAAUUAAACUGAUAAAAUCAACAUGCGUAUUUGUGGUAUGGUUGUGAGAUAGAGACAAAAAGAGGGGGAGAGAUAGAGUACUGUUGGCCCUCAUCGAAGGCUGGGGCAGGAGGUUCUUCGCUGUUGUAGUGAGCAAGGAGAGUGUCGAAGCAGUAAGCCACCAUCUCCUUCGUCGCCGACACCAUUUUCGUUUAUUAUUAUUCUUAUAUCGUCACUUGGUAUAUAUGAUCCGUUCGUAUUUGAUCGCUAAUUUGGGGUUUUAUAGAAUGAAUGAAAGUAAGAGACCUCUUUACAGAAGAGAGAGGAUUUGGUGCCAGAAGGCAGAAAUAAUUGAGAAUUCGACAGAGAAGAAAGCAGAAAAGAGAAAUGCUUUUUUUCCUCUCUGUUUUCUAAUGAGCAUGGAGCAUCGUUUUGAGGUCCCCCCACCUAACAAAUUUAAUAGAGGAAGCGGGAUACAGCCAACGUCUAGCCUAACCUGAUGAAAGUGAGAAAAGUGUUUUGUUUUUUUUGGUCAAUGUGAGAAAAAGUGUUAAGGGGGCACUAAGUAUGUAUUUAAUCUGUAAAUGCCAUUUUUAUUCACACAUUUCGCAAAUAUAACUUAUAAAUAUAUACUUAUUGCCUACUUAACAUUUUUUUCUCACUUAUUCCUUCCUCUCUAAGCUCUCUCUCUCUCUCUCUCUCUCUCUCUCUCUCUCUCUCUCUCUCUCAGUUCUCUCUUCCUCCCUAUAAACUGCGUAUCCUUCCCAUGUAUUGUAUAGCCUGUACUUAGGUUGAGGACUAGGCCUAUACCUGAUCUCCAGGGUGAAGUGCUUUUUGUCAAAGACUUGCACACUUUGAACAACUAUCAAAAUAAGAACGAACUCUGAUUGUUAAGUCAGAAAUAGUUGUAAAGUGGAGAGAACGGAUGUAGGGUUUUCAAGGUGAGAAUGUUUAUUACCCAUGUCCUAAUGUAGGUGCUGGGUAUUUAUAGGGGGAGAAGGAGGGAAAGAUAUUUAAGGGGAGAUAUUUAUCCCUCUCUUCCCUAGUGAGAUAGAACCACAUUCAAUGGCUUCUUCUGAUAAUCAUGUUGCCUAACAAGGGUUGAGUGACAAAGCAACACCUGGGUUCGGAUGUGAGGUUCAUUAAUCGAUCCCCCCCAUCACCAGGCUGGAUACCCAAAAGUAAAUCGUAGGGCGACACCUAGUUUAGGAUGUGAGGUAUAUUAAUUGAUCCUUUCCCAUCAUCAUGUUGUCCAUUAGACGGAGGGAGUGGCUAAUUCGACAAGGGUUCGAUUGUACCCUCAGAAUAUCUGAUUGUUUGGUCGAGUCGGUAUUCACAUGCCCGAUCGCUGAUUCAUAUUCUCCCAUCAGGUUUGGCUAGGAGGCUUUUGGUUGACACGGGGUAGUACCUCUAGUUGGGUCGGUGUAAGUUUAACGCGACGCUCCAUGGCCACGUAAUGAAUUGUGAUAGGCUCGACUCACAGUGAUGGUACGAGCCAUCAACAAUAGCCCCCCAACUCUCAACUUAAGGAGCAGAUCUUGGGUGGGGAGUUUAUCCGAAUUAUGAAUUUCGAGUGAGCUGAGCCUUUUUUAAAUGGCACGACUAGCAUAAGUCUGGUCGGGUAGCCCUCAAUUUCACAGCCGAGGAGGGCUCCUUUGAUUUUGUUGGCUCCAGGUUUUGAAUUUGGGGUACUCGAGUGGGGGUGAUGUGGCAGCGAGUGGUUGGCUGAGCAGGCGACGUAUUAAUUGCUACUAACGUCGGGGCCUGCGAGGAGUCGCAUCAGUUCGUGUCCCGUUGGUUCGACUGAUGGGCGCUGGCGUGGCUCCACGUGUGACCAUCGUAGCCGAGGUAGGCAAGAUAUGGACGGUGGGGAUGCUUCAGUGAGAUGUAAAAGAGGAGGGAGCAUCCAGCCUUCGCCAUUUUCUUGCCAUUGCUGCCGUGUGAGAGCUUGAGUGAUUUUUCCUAGCAAAUUCCUCUGGUGCGCCUCUACUGCAAGGAAGAGCUUCAGUUUUGGUCAGUUUUCUCCUUCUUCUUUGUUCUUUCCUUCCUCUUCCUUAUGUUUUCUCAGAAUCACAACUCGGAAUUUUUGGUUUUUGAGUUUCCUGGGAUGUUCUGGGUUUGGCGUGUUUUUGUACUUCAAUUUUCUUGUUUUGGUAUGUUUUGAUCCUUAUAUUGAGUCCCUUCUCCCUUUGGUUGUGUUUGAAGUGUUGUGGACAGUGAUAGAAAAAAUGUCGAGCCGAUCAGAUAUGUCAGAUUCGCAAGAUACGACGAGCAGCAGGUCGGCUUUUAGGGAUGAUAGGGAUGAUGUGGAGGUGGUGGAUCAAAUGUAUGACGUCGCCGACUAGAUGGGUGAAGACAUGCCCAUUGGUCUUGGUGGGAGCUUUGAGUACCAAGGUGCAAUAAGGAGGAUAAGAGGUGGGGAAGCAGAAGGUACCGACCAGAGUGGUGAGGAUAGUGGCCGAAAAAACUAGGGAGGCGUAACAGUUGCCGUAGCUGGGUCGGGUGGGGAGAGAAGCGAGGGCGGUUCACCUGCCGACCAAGGAGAAGGGGAAGAUCAGUUAGAGGGGAGGACUAUAGGUACGAGGGCCCUAGGCUUGGGUGGGGUGACCGAAUCAAACGUAGAGAUAUAACAUGCAGAAGGAGGAUGGUCAGCCGAUGAGCACCCGAGCACCAACAGCAGAAAUUAGAUCAGUUGAGGGCGGAGUAUGAUAUAUCGAGCAUUGUUAAACUUAGGGUGUCGAUCGGAGAUGAGAAGUUGAGCACACCCCCUUAGGAUGGGUGACCUUGUGUGCAGACAUGAUGAAGCAGGAGGUUCGGUUGCCCUUAUCCCCCUUUCUACAAAGCUGGAUUAGUAGGCUUGGUGUAGCCCCACAUCAGAUGAACCCAAACAUGUAAAAGACCAUGGUAGGUGUUUAGGCAUUGUGGCGGCGGGUGCACAGGUUUGAGCCGACCGUAAACCAAAUGCUUUAUUAUUUCUUGUUGAAGAGAAAUUCGUACCCGGUCGGCUUUUACUACCUUCAGAGUGUGGUGGGGAAGAUGAUCGAAAGCAAUCCCUCUUCCCAAAAGACAUGGAAGCCACACUGGUUCUAUGCGUCUGGUGCGUGGGAAUUUCCUGAAGGGGCAGAGCAGAGGCGGGCGAGGAUACAGAGGCUCUUUAGAAUGCCAAGUCCGGUUGAUGUACAAGAUUAUUUAUAACGCCCUGUCCUGCCUAUGCCUUCUUCCUCUUGUUUGUGUUGGUUGUUUGUUGUUUUUUUUUUUUUUAGGGUGUAGGCAAGUCAGGCUGGUCCUUUGAGUAUAUGAGCACUUGUUAUUUAGCCUGACAUGGGUGGCCAUCUUUGCAGUUGAAUUGGAGCGAGCCGAUCUGUCAGCGGCCGAGCAAGAGCAAGGUAACCAAGUGCUUACUCUACCUAGUACCGAGAGAGUCGCAGACAUCUUGCUUGCCAGCGAAGGUCUGAUUAGCUCAACAGGUGAGUUUAUUCUUGCUCUAUGCCAUGUGCUGUCAAUGUGGUUAAUGCUGACAUUCGUAAUUGUUUCAUGUUUUGUGAAGUGAUGAGGCCGAGUCGAAAUGAUCCCAAUAUGCAAGCUCGGCUGAUGAAGAUGGCCAAGAAGGGCUCGUCUAGAGGCUCGGCUGGAGGCUCGCAACCAGCUUGAGUGGGCGCGUCUCCCCAUAUGUCGGUGGUUCGGAGCCAGGCCACUGGUGCGGUUUCGAGUCCCGCUCGGGGAGCUCAAAAGAGGCGAGUUGAUGAGCAGUUACCCUGAGGCACAGGGAAGAGGCGAGUUGAAGACGAGCCGAGGAGGGAUAGUAGGAAGAGGCAGAUGAGCUCCACUCCAGAGGUCAGUAAAAGGACGAGCAUGGACCCCGUCAGUGGUCCCUUGGAGCCGUGGGUGGACGGAGAAUUGGUGAUCAGCUCGUACUAGGAGGCGAUUAAACGGAUGCCGAAAGUGGAUGUGGUCGAGGGGGCUGUUCACCGAGGAGAUGGGUUAUAAUGGCAUGACCCUAUCUACUCUGGAGGAUGAGAUGAAGGUAAAGUAUUUUGGCGCUUCCUUUUCCUUCAUGGUUCUGGCGUUUUUUUUUGGCACUAGUUCUUUAAUGCAGGCCACCAUGAAGCUAUUCAUCGCCGCCCAUAAUGUCGCUGCUCAUCGGGAAUUUGACCAAGGUAAGAGAGAUGAGCAAGCGGUGACUGUGGCGGACCUGAGCAGGACGAUUGGUGAGAAAGCAAAGGUCGAGGAGGAGCUGGAGCUUGUGUGUGGUCGGAUCGAGGCGGAAUGAAGAAAAACGUCGAGCUGUUGUCGUUGGUGAACAAGCUGGCUGAGGACAAACGUGGCCUAGGCAUAGAGCUAGCUAAGUCGCAGAAAGAUUUAGAGAAAGCCAAUCAGAAGAUUCUGGACUUUGCCUCGGAGCUGUGGUUCUGCUAUGAUGAUGCAGUGAAGGACUACACUAAAUCGGCUGAGUACCAGGAGAAGCUUGCCAGUUAGAGGGUCGAGGGGUACUUUGAUCUAAUUGAGAAGGUUGGGGAGAAGCAUCCUUCCCUAAAAUGGAGCUUUUUAGGUGACGAUGCUGAAGAUACCCAUGCAGAGCAAGAUGGAGGACCAGAACCCUGAGCCUGUUGGUUAGAUUGCUCAAAAUGAAGAUCCAAGCACUGGAGAGGCGACCGCGCAGGAGAGAGACCCGACUGCCUAGGGAGGACAAAGAGAAAAUUAUUUAAAAUAACAUUGACCAAGUGAAAUCUUAAUGUCAAUAACAACAGCUUAACUGAAACAUAUAUUUUCCUCUUUUACUUAUAAAACAAACUCAUCGCUUCAGGAUUUAAUUAUGAUUUGUAUAAAAUCCUUAAGACUUAGAAAACUCUCCACCUGGACGUACCCCCAUCCAUAUUCCGUCAAUUCCUGUAAUAUUCCAUCAAUUCUGAUAACAUUCCAUCAAUUCCAAUAACAUUCCGUCAACUCCAAUAAUAUUUUGUCAAUUCCAAGUAUCCUGUCAGUUCCAUCCUCAUAGGCCUCGAAAACACAAAGUUAACCGAGCCGCAUUCCUCGCAGGCCUCGGAGACACCAAGUCUACCUGAGCUGCAAUCCUCGCACCACACGAUUCAAGCGUCCCCGAAACUCGUGGGGCAUAAUUAAAAAUAACAAAACUUUUUGAAGGCAACUGGGAGGGGGGGGGGGGGGGGGGGGGCCCCGGGUGGGUUUGAAAACUAUAUUUUGACAUUAAUCAUAAAAUUUCUCUUAUUCUACAAAUCCGCUUUCACAAACCCAUUUGCCAAAUCUAUUCUCAACUUCCCAAAAUUAGUUCUCAACUCCCUUUGGAUUAACACCACAUACUAUUGAGAACUAGUGUCUAUAAUUCGUCAUUCUCAAACCACUGAGUGUGUAUAUAUAUAUAUAUAUACGUGUAGUUAAAUAUGUUCUUAGUUACUUAACUAAUUUAUUAUUCACAUCGAAAACCAAUUAACAAUCCAUUCCCCACUCUUCACAAUCAAACUCAGUAUAAUAUCCUUAGAAAAGAAAAGCGAUUACAUAAUAUCUCAUAAACAUUUGAAUACUCCAAUAUCAUCCAAACAUAUACUGAUAUAAUUCUCAUAAUAAUAAUAAAUAAAUAAGUAACAAGAUUAACUUCAAAUAUCAUACCUCCCAAGAAUAUCAUAAACACUUUAACAUAAACUCGCAAUUCAAACAUAAUCAAUAUAGUUCACAGACAGUCAAGCCUCGUUCACACUGUCGUUUUAGCACUUCUCGAAGGGUAAAACUACCUCAGAAGACUCACGGUCAACAGAGGAUCAAACUUCCUAAAUUGGGUCAACCUGACCCGCGGGGCCCACGACCUCCAAUUAUCAAUCCGAGAGUUCCUAUAGGUUCAACACACUUUAUUAAACAUGCCCUGUAAGUUUGGUUCAAAUCAGACGGUCGGUUCACUCGCGAUCAUACAAUCGGACAGUUAUCGUUAAACUAAACUUCAAAUUAUUAAAUUGGAACAUCCUAGGCUCCGAUUCACGAUUUGCGAAUUCCUACACGAUCCUAGGAAUUCAUAGAUCAACAUAUAUUAAAUUGGAGUCGAUCCAACGGUCCGAACAUAUCGAACCCGGAUAACACCUUAUAUGCGAUAUCCGAUCGACAAUCAAACGGAAACCAAAUUCAUAUUCGAGCAUACCGUUGUGCUCGGAAUGACAUGAGGAUUAUUUUAGGACUCAAUAAUAGGCCAAAAUGUGGCCCAUGCGCCGCCACACAUGGGGGCAGCGUGUGGGUGUCCAAAGCGAUUCUGGCAAUCGAAAAAUCUCCAAACGGCCGGUCAAAACUUAUAUCUACAUGAUCAUCACAUAGAGUGGAGCAACUUUUGUUCUUGGACCUACCCCAAAAAGUCAACGGAAGUGGCCGGAAUCGGAGGCCGAAAGACGGAAGAUUUUCAAUCGCUUAUUUACCCUCCAAAACUCAGAACUUUCUCCUAUCCAACACAACCAACAACUAGAGAAUCUAGAGAGGUUGAGAAAGCAUACCUGGAUCGAUGGAAAUGGUGGCUGGAAGUGAGACAGGGGAGGAGCCCUUCCCGUCCAAGAGCACGAGGUUCUAGUUCGGCCAGAAGUCCCUGCACCAGUCCAGGCCCCAUAGAAUCAACCAGAACUCCACCUAUUCCACAACCUGCGGCCUUACGUGAUCAGCCCUUGGCAUUUCUGCCUGAGGCACCAGCUGUGUUACCCUAUAGACCCAGAAGGAUGGACCUCAAUCCAUUCCUUCCACUAGCAAGAGGCAGGAGAGGCAGAUGGGGAAUUAACCCCUUUGCCAACAAUGAUAGGAAAGACCAAGGGCAAACUGGAGGAAUCAUCCAGAUUUUGAAGAAGAGGAAGGACACAGGGAGGAAGUUCUGCCUAGGCCAUUCAGAAUGGAGCACAGGUUUGAGAAUAACUAGCCAGAACAGGGAUGGAAUCCGCAUACUGUCAAUGCUUUAAAUGACAUGGGGGCACUUCAGAGAAUGAUCAGGGAGAUGAUGAAGCCUGAAGCCAUAAUAGGGGAAAGGCCCACCUGCAAAAAGCCAUAUCCGGCCUAUAUUGAUCAGAUACCUCUAUCCUCGGGUUUUAAAGUGCCAAACUUCACCUUGUUCAACAGAGAAGACCCUCAUGCCUCAUCAGUUGAGCAUAUAGGCAGAUUCUCUGUCCAGUGCAUAGCCAUAGAAAACAACCCUCUGUUAAAACUGAGGCUUUUUGGAAAUUCUCUCUCUGGACAAGCCUUCACUUGGUACACCAGUCUACCAGCUAAUUCUGUUCAAACCUAGGAGCAAAUGGAAAAUGUUUUCCAUGACUACUAUUUCAGGAUCCAGCCUGAAGUCACCAUCAAUGAUCUUGCUGCCCUCAAACAGAGUGAAGAUGAGCCUGCUCAAGACUUCAUAACCAGAUUCAGGAAGCUCAAAAUGAAAUGCCGAAUCCCUAUGGAAGAAAGGCACUUCAUCCAGAUGGCUCAAACCGCCUUUAAAAUCUCUAUGAGAAAGAGAUUUGAUGAAAUGCUGUUUAGAGAUCUGGCAGAACUGGCAGACAAAGCAUCUAAAUAUGAGGAGUUACUUAGGGAAGAACAACAGAAAAGGAACUCUUCCAAGGCACAUACUACAAAACUCCUUCUUCUUUAGUACAUCUGGUUGAAGUAGAAUCAGAAGAAGUUACAGAAGGCUCAGAGGAAAGAGAAAUUGCAGUAGCAGAGAUGACAAAGUUGAAACAUCCCAUCAACUGCAAGGCUCUUACAAAGCCACCACCGUUCACAGAAGGGUUUGUUCCAAACAAACCAACACAGAACAAGUUGUACUCAUUCGAUCUAACCAAGGUUGAUGCUUUGUUUGAUGAGAUGCUGCUACAGAAGGUAAUAGAGACACCCCAUAGGUUGCCCAAGCCAGAAGAACUCAAGGGAAAAUAGUAUUGCAGAUGGCAUAACUCUUGGAACCACUCCACCAACAGCUGUGUUGUUUUCAGAGAUGUCAUACAGGAAGGAAUAACAACAGGAAGGCUAAAACUGGCGGAGAAACCUCCCUCAGUUACAACAGAUCCUUUUGCCCAACCCCAAGUCAAUAUGGUCAACUUAAAUUGGCCAGAACAGAAGAGAGACAAAGCAGUAACAGAAGCUAGCUCCAGCAGAGGUAGAAGAGUCACAAGGGAGACUAGUCAAAGGCCAAAGGCAACCAUUUCGACUGAGGUAGUAUUGUAUAGCAAGUGCAAGUGUGAAAGUGAGUUAGAAGUGACUCUGGACAGGCAGGAUCAGCUACACCUAGCGUUUUUGACAGGAUUGGAAUAUCAUACCAACAAGGCCCGGUUCUGGCCCCAUCUAAAGACACAGGCAGACAGAAGGACUAUCUAAGGCUGCUCAGUGCAGCAAAAGAGUGACAAGCAGCCAAAGAAAGAAAUACCAAUCAGGAUGCCCGGAAAUGAAAAGCCCUUGGCAAAUAUCAUAAAAGGCAGAUGGUAUUCUGUUGGAAAAAGAGGUAGACCAACUCUAGAGCUAACCAGAAUGCAGAAAAGGAGAGUUCAAAGGCAGUACUGCACCUUCCUCAAAAACAGGGGUGACACACAGGUACUUUCAGAGACCAGUUCAAAGUCCAGAAAUUGCUACUCAGGCAGAACAAACAACAUAUCAGCCACAAGAGCUGAUGAAGACAGAAUCUCCAAACAGAGCUUCUAUCCAUCUUCCCUCAUCCUUAGUCAAUCGGUUGGAAACCCCACAAAUACAAGGUGAAUCCGAACCUAUUCCAGUAGAAGGACAAGAAGAUUAGACUGAAGACUACGAAGAGGAGCAGUUAGACUAUGAACCAUCUGUAGACGACCAAACUGGGCUCCUCGAAACAGGAGAACAAGAAGACUGGACUGAAGAAUAUGAAGAGGAGUAGUUGGACUAUGAACCAUCUACAGAGUACCAGACUGGGCUCCUCGAAACAGGAGAACAAGAGAAUUGGACAAAAGAGUAUGGGGAAGAACAGAUGGAGUAUGAUGAAGAACUAGAUGAAGAAACUAAGGCUUUUGGUGCAAAAUUGGAGAGCCUGUUGUAGGGUGAUCUAGGCAUUAACAUGGUGUUCAUCUUGCCAGAAAAAUUCAGAGCAGCAGAAGGACGGGAAAACACUUUGGAAGGAGACGUGUUCUUCCAGGAAAGUUUUGAGUGCAGGUUGGUAGAAGUAGAGGAGGCGCUGGAAUAGCAAACACCUAUUGCCAAAAUAGGUGGAACUGCCAUGAAACUGGCUGUAGAACAGUUCUGUUUUUCCAAACCAACCAAAGAGAUGGCCAAUCACCUCAGACCGCUGUUCAUAACAUCAAACUUUGGGGGAAUCCCUAUUCCCAAAGUAAUGGUAGAUGGAGGUGCAGCCAUUAAUCUUCUGCCUCACAGAUUACUGAGCAAGAUGGGCAGAACAGAGAAGGAUCUAAUUCCAAUGUGUUUGACUGUCACCAACUUUGCUGGGGGCAUCACUAAGACUCAUGGGAUCCUAGAUGUAGACGUCAUAGUUAGAACCAAGGAGCUGAAGAUUGCAUUUUUUGUGGUAGACACCACUUCAACCACUAACAAUUCAUUGCUGGGCAGGGACUGGAUCCACCAAAGCUUAUGUGUUCCCUCUACUUUGCACCAACAAUUAGCCCUUUGGAAUGAAGAAGGAUUCAUGGAGAUAGUGGAGGCCGAUCCACGACCAUUUCUGCUCUCUGCCAUGUGUUUUAAGGCAAGGUAUUAUCAUGAUGACGUUGGUCCUUUCACAUUCCUUGGAGUCAACCAGAAUGGCCGCCCCCAUGGUGUCACGGCCCAGAGACUCAUUGAAGAUGGUCUAUCCAGUUCUCUAGAAGACUGGAAUAGACCUUUUGUUCUAAACCUCUAGAACUCUGAUGUUUAGUCCCAAUCAACAAGAAAAAUAUCGAGCUACAACAAUCCGAUUCAUUACAAAAAGAUUGUUGAUAUAUUGGGAAGAAAGGAAGCUCUUUAUGCAGAAUCCAGCCAUCAAUAUGGCAGAAUUCACCCAUGAAAGCACGGAGGGACAAGAAGAGAGUUUACAGGAGGAAGUAUUAGAUUUUGCACCAGCAGCACUAGAUGAUUCUUUACCAGAAGUGGAAGAUCCAUUGCAGGAGAUAAACUUGGGGACAUAAGAGGAUCCAAGACCCACUUUCAUUAGUGCACUGUUGAAAGAACCACUCAAGAUCGAAAUCAUUACACUUUUGCAUGAUUUUAGAGAUUGUUUUGCUUUGCAUUAUCAUGAGAUGCCUGGAUUAGACAGAAAAUUGGUAGAACACAAGCUGCCAAUCAAAGAAGGCUGCCUUCCAAUCAAACAGGCCAGAAGAAGGAUGUCUAUGGAAACAGAACCGAAAGUCAAGGAAGAAAUAGAAAGACUGGUCAAGGCAGGAUUCAUCAGACCGGCCAUUUAUGCUGAUUGGCUAGCCAAUAUUGUGCCACUUCUGAAGAGAAAAACAGGGGCAGUUGGAUCUGUGUGGAUUACAGGAAUCUAAAUGAAGCAUCCUCCAAGGAUGAAUAUCCUAUGCCAAUGGCAGAUAUGCUAGUAGAUGGAGCUGCUCAUAACCAAAUGCUAUCUUUUAUGGAUGGCAAUGCAGGAUACAAUAAGAUCAUGGUAGCAGAACAAGACAUCCAUAAGACAGCCUUCAUGUGCCUGGGACAUAUAGGUAUUUUUGAAUACACUGUAGUGCCUUUCGGCUUAAGAAAUGUAGGAGCCACUUAUCAAAGAGCAAUGAAUUCUGUUUUCCAUGAUAUGAUAGGGCAUUCUCUAGAGGUGUAUAUAGAUGAUGUGGUGAUUAAAUCCCCAGAAGAAGGAGAUCAUGUGUCAAAUCUAAAGAGGGCAUUCCUAAGAAUGAGACAACAUAAGUUAAAAAUGUAUCCCAAGAAAUGUGUUUUUGGAGUUCAAGCAGGACAUUUCUUAGGUUUCUUGGUCCACCAAAGGGGUAUAGAGAUCGAUAAAAAUAAAGCAAAAUCCAUCAUAGAAGCUCUACCACCUCGGAACAAGAAAUAGCUGCAGAGUCUCCUAGGAAAAAUUAACUUUCUAAGGAGAUUCAUAUCCAAUUCUGCAAGAAAAAUCCAGCCUUUCUCCUCCUUGCUAAGGUUGAAGCAGGAACAGACUUUUAAGUGGGAAGAACAGUACCAACAGGCUUUUGAGGAAAUCAAGCACUACCUCUCAAAUCCACUAGUUCUGUCCCCACCAAAGAGAGGCAGACCGCUCAAACUCUAUGUUUCUGCAUCAGAAGUGUCCAUUGGGAGUUUGUUAGUUCAAGAUAACAACGAAGGGAAGGAACAUGCAGUCUACUAUCUGAGUGGGACUCUAACAGAAGUAGAAAGGAAAUAUUCUGCAAUUGAAAGACUUUGUCUAGCCUUGUACUUCACUGCAGUGAAACUAAGACACUAUAUGCUGCCAUUCACCAUCUACUUCAUUGUCAAGACAGACCCAAUCAAAUACAUGCUAACAAGGCCAAUGUUGAGAGGCAGAAUUGGAAAAUGGACUUUGGCUUUGACAGAGUUUGCUUUCAGAUAUGUCCUUCAGAAAGUUGUCAAAGGACAAGCUGUAGCAAAUUUCCUAGUAGAUCAUCCAGGGGAAGAAAUUGAAAAUAUGGAUUCUUUGGAUAUAACAAAUGCAGAUAUGUUGACUAGAGCUCAUACUUGCCUUAACCCACAACAUUAAAUGCCAAUUAAUUCAAUCGAAAACCAUUUUCAAAACAGUUCAGAUUUAAGGGGGCAUUGUUUGGGCCAAAAUCCUGUGCACCCAGCCCAAACUGAAGAGCCCAGAAAGACAAAACAAGCCACAAGGCCGAAGCAGUCUGAACUUUGCAAAUAAACAGGAAUCGAGGGCCCAAAAUCCGAGGAAGCCCAGCCCAAGAUUUAUCAAAACCAUGACAAUGAACCUGGCUUGGCAUGACUAAAAGAAAAGAAAAAAACCCAAAGUUAGAGGCAGACCCACGUGACCUCCUAACUUGGGAAAGUUAGCAAUUCCAACUGGGAUUGAUAAGGAGUUAAUAAGGGCAGGUAUAAAAGAAGGACAUCUCUGAAAACUCUGCCACCGGAAGAUCAAAGCCCUUUUAUAUAUUCAGAGAUAUUUUCUGCUCCAAAGAAGGCACCAUUUUCAAAUGAUACGCAGACUAUGUUUUCUAAAAGAGAUAAGUAGGAAGCAGAGAGUUGUUCGAAACUGGAAAAUCGAACUUACCAUCACAGUUUAAAACUCUUACAAGAGCAGUUAAAUUAGAAGAAGGGUUAGGUUUCCUAUCAAGAAAUACAGGGAAGUGAUUGCCUUAGGAACUGACCAUUGAGGGCUUAUCUGUCAGAAUUGAUAAAACCUCCUUUUUCUUUGCAUUUAAAAAUGAAAGAUCUUUUGAGAAUUUUGCCACCCAUUAUUAAAAGAAUUAGAAACCCCCACUCCAAAACAUUUCUUAUAAAUAUAAGAAAGGGUGAACAGAGCAAAGGACAAUCAAUCAGACAAUCAAGUAGAAAACCUCAAUAAAUUUAUGGAGGGCCCUGAUCAAGUAGAACAGGUACCACAGUGCAGUUCCAGCUCAGUAAUCCUCGAGUCCAGCCACUUCUGCCCCCUUCAGACUGAAGAGACCGCAAUUCUGCCCAUUCAAAAAGCCUUCUAGGGCUUGAAAUAGAUUAAAGCUCUGCCAAACUCAAACGUCGGUAUCGAUUUACAGCUGAAACUUGACAGUUGAAGUUGUUGACAGUCCAGUCCAGCGUAGACAUACCCAGUCCAACUCGGAUUAGAAGCAUCUAUCCAGGCAAAAAUGGAAGUCCAACCUUCUUUUCGUCUUUCUAGAGUUGGUUUUUCCUUUUUGAGUUUUGUAAAAGGCAGUUCUGCCUAGAAACAGUUCGUUUUCUCAUCAUUUAUUCUGGCCAGAACUACCAGUUGUAUACUGUGAAAAAUUGUGAAGUUCUCACUAGUCUGAGGUAAGAAAAGAACUUACUUGGGAGAUGUUCCUCACCCAAAUUCACAAUCGCUUGUUUAGAAGUCAGUAACUUGGGGCACAAGUUAUCUAUUUUUUAGAGGUCUGUUAGGAUUUUCAUUGCUAAUAGUGGCACGCUCGCACACUAAAGAAAGUUGACUUGUUGACCCGUCAAUGGUUCUCAAGGCAAUGGGAAACUUUACCCUACCAUCACAGGAACAAACAUAAGACGGGUGAACAAUCUCUUUAGAAAAUAUAGUCAGCUUAUCCCUUGGAAAUGACACCUGUUUUGGAGCAGAAUUUUUUUGAAUAUAGAAAAGGAUUUUGGUCUUCUUUCUUGAUUGUAAAGACUAGAGAAAUCUUCCUAUAAGGCCUACCUUCAAUAAUUCCCCAUCAACUCUCUUGUGACUAGUUGAAUUUGCUGACUUUUCAAAGUCGGGUAGUCACUUGGGUUUGUUCAAUUUUGGGCUCUUCUCUUUUUCAUUUGAUCACGCCAAGCCCAGGUUGAGUUCUGGGACUGUGGACUGAUUUCUUUUCUUUGUUUUCCAAAGCCCAAGUUUAUUCUCGUGGGUUGACAGGUCCUAGGCUAGGCUUUCUCAAUUUUGGGCUUCUCUCCCAGUUUCUUUAAAUCAAGCCCAAGUUGUGCUUAUGUCUCGUGGGUUUCAAAAAUGGGCUAGGCUGCGCACAAUUUUUAGGCCCAAACAGAGUGAAACCAAGCUUUGGCUCUAUCCUCUAAUGAAAACGGGAACAAUUUCAGCCUAACCACUUCAUCAUAGACAUUUAGGAUCUUGAUGGUGUCACAAAUGUCAAAAAAUUCUCGAAUAUGUAUGUUAGGAUCUUUGUUCGACUUGCCAUAGAAAGAUGGUAACAAGUGAAUCAUUCCGGACUUAAGUUCAAAUGAAUUUGCUUCAACUUCUGGUACUACAAUACAUGAUGGAGUGUUGGAAAGAGUUGGGAUGGAGUGCUCCUUCACAGCUCGAGCAGGUUGUGCUCGUUUCAUUGCUUCCUCUUGCGCUAAAUGUUGUUCCCCAAUGUUCUUGUCACUCUUCUCGUUUAUAUUUUCAACGGAACCUCUAUCUUCUUGAUGUUCCAGUGAGUGAGUGAAUUUGUCUUUUCAUUUCCUAACUGUUCUUUCAAUCUUAGGAUCAAACGGUAUGAGGUCUUGACCUUGAGAGCGUCUACCAUUCAUACACUAAGCCGAACCUAAUAAACAAGACAAACAAGAAACACAAAUCUAUUCUAAUAAUCUAAAAUUUCUCAGUAAAUAAAUAAAAAAAGGAAAUUAAAUAAAAUAAAAAACUAAGAAAACGGAAACUAACUAUUAAAUAAAAAAUAAUUAAUAAAAUAAAAUAAAAUAAAAAUUGAAAAGCUAAGUUAAGAUUGAACUAAAUCAUAGUUGACGAAGCCAAUCCCCAACAACGGCGCCAAAAACUACUUGUGAAUUUUAGACAACUUGAAAAAUGGAGAUUAUAAAGAUUAGUCUAAACACAAAGUAUACUCGCAAGUGCACAAGGUCAAUCGUAAUAUAGUAUGACAAAUACAAGGUCAUUCCCAUGAGGAUUGAGUUCAACUUCCAAUUAGUCUAACCUAAUUUACUUCACAAAAUACUUUAACUACUAUAGUUAUAUAGACAAGAAAUUAAACACGUAACAUACUCACGUAAACACAAAAGGUGUUUUUGAAAGAAUGAUUUAAUUAACAACGAAAUUGAAAGAGAAAAUAAGUAGAAAGUCACGAAACACAAGGAUGAGAAAUUCAAAUUGAUAAAAGCACUAGGGCAAUGAAUUCACCACUAGUAAUCCGAUCUAGCCUCUUAUUCACCUACAUAUUAACUAACCAAUUGAUGUCGCCACUUAGUUUUCCUUUUUCAUGAAAUACCUAUGGUAUUUAGGCUAACUUGUAUAUUCCUACAUGAAAUUUUCCUAUGGUAUUUAGGUCAAAUAUCAACACAUAGAAACUCAUUAAGAUGAGUGAAAGCAUCCAACAAGCAUGUAAAUUCUGGGAGUAUGAUAUUUACUCUAGACGAAUUACAAAUCCUAAUCACAAGAAGCAAGCCUCAAAUUAAGUAUGGUAUUUACUCUAAUUUGCAUUCGAUUCACUCAAUUAAAAGUCUAGAUGGUGAUCAAGCGUCAAGAUAUUCAACCAAGUUAUUCAGCACAGUGAUUAAGAAUCCAACAUCAAACAGCAAUCAAUAGAUAGGUAAAAUAAGAAAACUCCCUGGGUAAGUAAUUGACUCCUCUUCUUACUUUGACUGGGAUAACACGCCAAUUAAUUUGCACGCAUGUUUGGGGUUGUUCCUCCUCCAAUAAAAUUCAGCAAUAAUAUGUAAAUUGAAGAUAUUGGCUUAUCUUUCCAGCAAUAUAUCGCACUCCUUGAGGAAAAAUCAGAAAAAUCUUCAAAUAGUCAUUCUUCCACAGCAGCACAGUUUUGAUAGGAUUACAUCUUAUGCUGACUUAACUUCAAAGACUGCUCCCAUUGGCUUCUCCGAAAAUUCUAGAAAAAUUCCAUAGUCAUCUUCAAGAUCUUAGCUUUCAUCUUCAAUGGUCUCAUACUCAAACUCCACCAAAAAGUCAUAUUUUCGUUGAAAACCAAUUACUUGCUUCUGAAAGCUAAAAAUUGAGAAAAUAAAGUAAUAAGUCCUUUUUAAAUCAAAUUCUCCUGCAAAAACUAAGUAUAAAGAUUACAUAAAUAUGUAAAUUUAUGGACUUAUCAGGGACUAGCAAAAUCUAGGUUUGGGGGUAUUUGAUAAGUCAUUUAUAUAUCAUAUAAAUUUACUCUUUUCAUUUAGAUGUUGUAUGCAAAAGUUGAUUGUUCUAUAGUGAUCUUCACAUAUUCCAGCUUUUGUGUUUUCAGGAACUCUAAAAUGCCAAAAAUGGAGAAAUUACUUUUUACUAGGAGAUUUUGGAUGAAACCACUUAGAGAUGAAAGUUAAGAGGUCAUGAGAUGUUGUUUCAAAAUUUGAGAGUUAUUGGGCUAGCCAACUAUUCAGAACGAAUUAUUAAAGUCAGGGCAUGUGCCAUACGGGCACAUUGGAGCUGUUGGGCUUGAGGACGAUUUUAGGCACGUUUAUGGGAUUUUACUUGGAAAAUAUUUGUCAUAAAAAUUGUAGUUGACGUCAAUACCUUUUCAAUGAUAUCUUAGAAGUUCAAUUUGGUGAAGAUUAAACCCACCAAAAGCCCAGAAUUGGAAUAUCUGUUGUAAGUCGCAAAGAAUUAAGAAAGCGGACUUGUACUUUCUUUUUUUCAUAUUUCCUAUUGGUUACAAUUUGUUUGGUUGUUCAUGCCUUGCAAGUUAAGUUAUUUGAGAUUUACUAGGACUAAGAAAAGGUAGAGAGAUCAUAUAAAAAGAAAAGCCUAGGUAAAAAAAAAAAGGGACUGGACGGGCCCGUUCAUCAAGAAGAUAAUAUGGCGCUAGGCGUGUGCGUGCGAUGUUGUAUUUCAGGGUUUCUUCUUUCACUCUUAUGAUAUUAUUUUCUGUGCUGUUAAUUAUGUUCAUGUGUAACUACACUUUAAUCUAGGGCGAGGUUAAGCCCUAGCAUGAUGAUAUAGUACUGUACAUUUAUUUAUCCAUUAAUGUAAUUUGGUGUUUGAACUUUUAACAUGCCAAGUGUUAUACUAGUAAUGUGCUUUGAUGCUUGAUCACCAUUAUGGUAUAUGAUUAAGUUAUAUGAUGCAAAAUUGAGUGAAUGCCACACUGAUUUUUAGUAUGCUUCUGGCAAUUAAAAGGUGUGAUUACUUAGGGUAAAUGCCAUGCAGUAAGAAUUACAUGAUUGAUUUAGUUACUGGUGCUCAUCGUACUCUUCAUGUUUAUAUCCAGCCUAAAUGCCAUAGGGAGACUACAUGUUGUAGGAAUUAUUCUAGCAUAAAUGCCAUAGGGAGAAUAAAUAUAAGGUAACCAAUCUUCUAUAUGGAAUUACCUCUUAAUGGAUGAAUGAACAUAAGUGCUAUAUUAGAUUGCUUGUGGUGGACGCCUAGCCUUAGUGUCUUAUCUUCCUGAUUUUCUCAACCAAUUAAUAAUCCUUCAAAAUUUUCUUUCCAAUUUGUGUUUUAUUUUAUUCGCAUUGAAUCCAAAAAAAUAAUAAUAAUAAUUCAUUGAUUUACAAGUCAAGUAUAUAGUACAUAUUUUCAAUUGACUUUAGUCUUCGUGGGAAUGACCUCGAAUUUACCUUUGCUAUGCUAAUAAUAACCUUGUUCUAUUGUGAGUAUAGAUAGCGUUUUAACCUCUGUUUUGCAAGUGGUUAAAAUCCUAUCACAUUCUGUUGCAACAUCCAAAACUAUCACCUUCUCAUGCAAUUCCUGAUAUCUUCUCAUAUUUGAAAUCUAUCAUUUCCCUUGUAAAUCAAAACCUCCUCAUCACCAUCAUUCUUCUCAAGCAAACUUAAAAUGCUCGUUUUAUGAAGAUGAAUGCCCCAGCACCUGAACUUGCAUAUGCGCUCGCAUUUUCUUUAAAGAAACUCUUGAAAAGUGGAAGAUGAUGUAUAAGAUGAUGCAUAAGCAAACAAGCAAACAAGCAAACAAGCAAGAAAGCAAACAAGCAAACAAGCAAAUUCAUAAAUCAAUCCUUUACCAGACAAUACAAAAUCUCCUUUUUGCUUACGUCAGGCCUAGGAAGAUUCAGUAGCAAGCAAUUAUCCUUUUCUCUUCAUGAAAAUCCAAGUAAUAACAACCCAACAAGCCAUCUAUAGGAGAAUAAUUACCAAGAAUCCUGUUGCAAGAUUGAAUCUCUACCAUCUGCUAACACAUAUAGCUAUUGUAAAAAAAAACAAAACAAAAGGCUAGACCAUGCCAAUAUACAUACUGAAACCUUUUGCCUAACAUCCAACCCCACUGCUCACAAGUUUUGUUAACUUUCAUAGCUAAAACCCAUACACUCAAACCUAGCCAGCAUGCUAAACGACCCAAAAGCUAGAUUAAACUUUGCUACUUGGGUCAAUACUCUAAUAACAAGCCCAAAGUCGGGUUGCUGGAAUUCAUAACAAGGUGUUGGAAGUAGCUUUAAUCAAAUGUGUUCCAAGCUUAACAUCCAAGCAUACCAGAAUGAUAUGGUUUGCCACUAGAACCCACAACUUGUGACAUGGAUGCAGGCACAAGCAUUUUUAUGCUCAAUGCAAUGAAUAAAUUAUUAUCAAACAUGCAAUUAAUGAAAGGGCUCUUGUUGGCGCUCACUUGAGGCAAACAAGCACAAGAAGUUGCAGAUGAUGACUGGGGGCCUUCCCAAACUUCCUUGGAAUGGGAGAAGUACUGGACAAGAUCCAUGAGAAGUACUGGACAAAGCCUGUUGGAACAAUUCAAAACACAUGUUGAAAGAAGCAAUAGGAAACCAUGCGAAUGCCAGACCAUUAGCAAGCACCCCGCACAAGCAGCAUAAUGUAUAUAAUUCAAGUCCCAUGAAUAAUUUAAGUUCCGAUAGCUGAAAUCUGAGGCUUUCCACAGAAAAAAUACAACUGCUACAUGAAAUGAGUUACCAUGCCAAAGGCCGAAACGCUAAAUGCAAUGAAGAACUAGCAAACGAGCGUCGACAACAUGGGACAACUAUUACUUCUAACAGAGGUGCAGUACUCUCAAAGAAAAGAGGAGCCGAAAAGGGCAUUCCAGGUGCCAAAAGGAUAUAAGGAGGUGCAUAAAGGUAUUCUCUCAGGCAUUGGAAGGUUAUUUUCCCUACUUGCACAUGCUUAACUUGCAAAUAAAUUUAUCGAUGAUAAGUUGCAACAUCAAGCAUGAAUAAAAAAGGACUAGCUUUUCACACUACAAUUGAGGUUUCAUGCCCAGAAAAGCAAGUCAUCUCAUGCCAAGCAAGAUGUGAAAAAUGAAGAAAAAGGAUUCGGGCACAACAAGUCCUUGCUAGUAUAAAAAGUUAGUUCCAAAGGAAGGCAUGUCAAAUUCUAACCAAUCAAAACAACAUGCCAAAGCAAAAGAAAAAGAAAUGCAAUUGCAAAGUCAUAUAUAAAAAAGAAUUCCUUACCAAACUUUACCAAAGCCUAGAAGUAGAUUGCCCCAAGCUAUGAAGUUGGGCAAGCUCAAGCUUCCAACAGCUAUCCAUAGUAGGUUCCGUGGCUUCAUUUCACAAUCAGUGAAAAAAUUGCAGUUGCAGGAAAGACCAAAUAUCACUUUUCUUCUUUGCCAAAGCACAAGUCCAACGCACAACAACAAGCAAGCAAAGAAAAAAAAUAUAAAAAAAAAGUAUAGACACUUUCAUGAAGUUUGCUCCAAGCUGCUGGAAAAUUCAUCUUUGAAGCAAGAUGCUGGAAAGAACAUAAAGGAAAGAAGAAAAGAGAAUAAGAAAAUUAGUCAAUAUCAUGUCCACAAGCAAUCAAGCCCCUUGAAUACUAUUCGUAAGAUUCAAGCAUCUUGCAUUGAAAAAAAAAUUAAAAAAAUAAAAUAACAAAGGACAAGAGAGCAAUUAUGUCCAUAGCCAUGCUCAAAGAAUCCAGUCAUAAAUUGAUAUAAACAUAGAAUUUUCAAGGUAGAUCAUCAAUAAAUCAAGCAAGGCUGUCAUGCAAGGAACAAAAUUUUAGCCAAGCAAAACAAAGAUUGUCCUUUUCAACAUGCCAAGAAACCUAAUUAUCUCAAUCUCAACUGAUAUCAAGCAAGCAUAUCAGUACAACAUGUCAAGCAAGGCUCUUGUUAAUGAAGGUACCCAGUCAAACUACAACCACAAGCUGCAAGUCAAGCUAUCCCAUGCUAGGCUAGAAAUAAAAAAUAAAAAUCCCUUAUGCAAAGCACUUCCAAAACAUGGAAGAUACAUGCAAGCCUACCGAAUCAAUUUAAUCAAGCUUCAAAGCAGAUCAUUUCCAAACCACGCUAGCUGAUGCUCGUAUCAAGUAAAUGAGCCCAUUCACUAUGGUGUUGUAAACAAGGCAAAAAAAAUUGGAGUUGGACGAGCAUUUAUAAGAAACAUUCAAACUAAGUCAUGCAAGCCAAUUAGAUAAGCCAAGCGAAGCCAAGCAAAAAAGCUAGGAAACAAGAAGUGUAACAGAUCAAAGCACAUAAUUAGGGUGUUCAUGCUAUUCCCAAUUCACAUGAAGAAAUCAAGCAUAGGCAUUGAAGGCAAUAAGCAUGCUCAUACAAAAGCGAGACCAAAUUGAUGAAUGAGGCCAAUGCUCAAUGCACCAAAACAUGCCAAGCAAAACUUAUACACAAGCUUUCUAACCAUUCUAGCUAGAACAUCCCACUUUUAGAAUAUUACUAGAAAUUAACUUUACAACCAACAAAUCCCAAAAUUUCCAUAUUACAACUAGACAUAUCAAGCUUCAUUUUCCCAAAAUUUUGUUGCAUUUAGAGCUAGGGAAGCAUGCCAAACAAAUUCCCAAAAUAGGCUAAUAGGAUUUUUAGUACCUGCGCAAACAAGGUUAAAAUCACAUAAAAUACUUGCAAGAAUACAAGACUAUUGUAGUAUAGAUGCUCAUGCAAGGUCGUUCUCCUCAAGGACUAUUUAGCAAUUUAUGUAAAAACAAAUUCCAAUUUACUACCUAGAAUUAAAAAUAGAGAAAGAUGAAUAUGAAGUUGGUUGAUUCUAAAAACAAAUAUUAAACAAAAACAAAUACGAUUGAAGGAAAGAGUUUUGAAUAUCAAUUUAUAAAAGCACUAGGGUUCCACCAUCACCUAGCAAUCCUAUGAAUUUUUACCAAUUACUUAUGAUUUGCUCAUGCCACUUUGAAGGUUAAGUUUUCCUAAUUUAUAUUCUACUUGGAUCCUCCAACAUAGAACGUAUAUCCAACAUGCAAUCCGUCCGAACGUUCGGAUCAAAUCUGAACAUGAAAGACUCAUUAAGUUUUGUGAAAACCUUUUGAAAAACCAUGCAACCCUUAAGACGUGGUGUUCAUCUUAAGUGAAAUUACAAUCAUUAAUCACAAGAAGCUAGCAUCAAUUUCAGGGAACCUUCCGACCAAAAUUGCAUCCAAUUACUUUUCUAAAGAUCCUAAUGGUGAUCAGGCAUUAAGACAAUUAGAUAGUUUAAAACAGUGAUUAACAAUUCAAAGUAUGCAUGCACUCAAUCAUAAGCAAUUAAAUAAAAAUCACAUAUUCAUGCUAAGGUUCAAGGCUUCAACCUAGCAAAAGAGAAUUAGUUACACAUAAUCAUAAUUGAAAUCCAAGAAAAUAUCAUUACGAAUGAAUAAGAAUGAAAACACCUGAAAGUAGCGAAAAUCCAAAACCCUAGCAAUUGCUCCAAAAGCCAAAAAGAAGUCAAAAGGAAGUCCCCAAAUUUCUGUGAAAAGAAGCUUAAAUAUAUCCUAAAACCUAGCUGCCCAAUCCCCACAAAGAAACUAAGUUAAAAUAAAAUAAUACUAGGAAAUAAAGUCCAAAUUGGAUUACAAGAAUCUGCCUAAAAUCUGCCCAGCCACGUUUUCGCCUCAAAUCUUCUCCAAAUCUGGCCCAAAAUAGCUUGUUUUAAAGAUAAAAAUAUUCUAAACACUUCUCUAGAAGGCCACAAACCCAUCCGAGGUCAUCUUGGGCUCCAAAAAUACAAUAAAAGCCCAAACCGUCACUAUUCCAACACCAUGCACUGCUCCUUUAUUUUAUCGCCAGAAAAUAACCGCUUGGUAGAAAAAUCUGAAAUUCUGAUACGAUCAAGCUAAGUGACUCUCGAACGUCCUCCAACUGGAAUUACUCCAAAAUUAGUCCAUUUGUUUAUGUUUUGCUCCAGAGGACGUCGAAUGUCCUAUAUUGGAAAUAUAAUUCAAAGUAUCAAAAUUCUUCCAAAAUAUUAACCAAAAAGUACUAAGAAUGAGGUUAAAUAUAUAAUAUAAAAUAUACCCAUCAUAGGCCAUGCAGCAGGAACUGCACAACUCCAGCAGCUUAACCCUUACUUUUAAAUUCCACCAAAAUUCAUUUUUGCUUCAAAUGACACAAGACCAAUUCCAAAAUAACCAUUGAGAAGUAUAUUUUCUGGUGUCAAAAGUUUCAAUUCAAAUUUAAAGGAAAAAAAUCAAAAAUACAAAUAAUAGUCCACAAGUUACUUCGAGACAUUUUUACAAACACUUGACAUGCAUUACCCAAGUGAGCUUGUAUGAGCUUCGUUUAUCACGAAGCUAAAACUCUAAAUCAGAAGCUCAACCUCAGAAUGCAGUGCCUAAGCCACAAGUUUUGAGAGUACAAAGUAAUUUAAGCUUCAAGCAUAGAAAAGAAGCAUACAACAAAGGCAUCAACAACAUACUUCAGAAAAAAUGAAGGUAGAGAACACUACAAUGGUUGGAUGAUCCUCAAUUUUGGAUAUGUUAUAAAUAACACAAUUUCUAGUAAAUUUUGUGAAGCAAGCACAAUCAUCCGAAAACAAGUGCAGAAACCGAAUAUGCUUAAACUCACCAGCAUUGAUGAACACAAAAGUUGCAGACCAAGUUUGAGGCAUCAUAAAAAUUUCAAAAAUAUGUAAGUUAUUCAUUGAAAUGAAUCAAGCAAUUCUGAAAGCAAAAAUCAAAGCAGUUCCUUAGCUUCUUCCUUUUGUUUCUCUAAUUGUUUUAAAAUUCCUCUCGUUCCCUUAUUCCUAUAACCUAGGAAUUCAUAGUUCUAUCGACUAGAAGUUUUAGAUCAAGUGGUAUCAGAGUACUAGAUCCAAGAGGGUGACAGUGGUUUAUGGUCUCAACUCGAAACCAACGUAAAGCUUGUGGAGAAAAAAUUUUAGGUCGUUUGCUCGUACACCGAAAGCUAAGGUCCAAGAGUGACAUUAUGACUGCAAAAAAUAAAUAGGAUACAUCUAAUGAUGGUUAUUGCAUCACUAAGCUUGAGCAACAAGUUGAAAACUUGUCUGCAUCAAUCCCUAAACUCAUGGAGAGUUUGAAGACUAGAAAACCUUCACAUCCAUCAACUGCAUAUGAGCCUUGUUAAUGCCUCAUACCAUCAUGGUGAGCCGAGCCCAUCACAAAUCACCACGUGGCCGUAGAUGGCUCCCUUAAACUAAUACCGACUCGAGCAAAUGUGAUGUCUCGGAUAUCAAUCAAAGGUCUCCCGACCAAAACCUGACUGAGCAAGAGUGAAUCAGUGCUCGGGCGCCGGAUACUGAGCCGACCACUGUGGUAUCGUGUGUGACCAGAGGUGCAUCAAUGCUCAACAAGCGUCACCAGACCCUUGUCAGGAAAGUGAACGAGAUUAGUUAAUGCAUUUCCCAUAUGAAGCAGGUGUCGCCUUACCCCUCGAUCCUCGAUAAAGAAGCUGAUGAUGGAGAGGGAUCAUUUAAUAUACUUCCCAACCAAAGCCACAUGUCACUUGUUCACACAAUCUUUGUCAGAUAGCAUGGUGAUCUAAACAGGUCAUUUAAUGUACUCUAGUCCCACUUGGGAGAGGGGAGAUAAAUAUCUCCUCCUUAAAUAACUUUGUCCCUCCCUCUCCCCUCUAUAAAUACCCCAAAGUCCUUUUGAUUUAGCAUUCACUAUGAGUGACUAGCCAUUAAGUGGGAAAGAAGAAGAAGAACAUAUUCGAGCACAUAAAUUUCUCAAACGAGUCAGAAAGACUACAUACUGAAGUGAAGGCACAACUGAAACAUUCUCAGCAAUGAUAUAAAGCUUGCCAUGAUAAGCAUUAUGGGCCAUGUAACGUCAAAGAAGGUGACCAAGUAUGGUUACACCUUGGAAUGGAGCGGCUAACUGGUGAAGGCAAGAAACUGAAGCCAAUUCGUUAUGGACCGUUUUCAAGAUCAUCAAACAAAUUGGUGAUAAUGCCCUUCAACUUGAAUUACCACCAUACAUGCAUAUGUACUCAGUCAUCAAUCUCGAGAAUCUUAAACUUUUUGAGCCAUCUCUACUUGAUGAUGAUCUUGGAACGGAAGGUUCGUGAGACUCGAUGUCACAUCCCGGGAUCGGCUCCGCCGUAGCACGAUAUUGUCCGCUUUGGGCCCCCCUCUCUGCCCUCACGGUUUUGUUUCUGGGAGCUCACGAGCAACUUCCCAGUGGGUCACCAAUCCUGGGAUUGCUCUAGCUCCAACUCCCUUAACUUUAGAGUUCCUAUGACUCCGAAGCCAGUGAGCAACCAAAAGGCCUCGUGCUAGAUGAAGGCGGGCAUGUACAUAUAAGACAUAUCACCCCCUCUCCGUUGGUUGAUGUGAGAUGUUACAAUCUCCCCCCCCCCCUCCCUUAGGGGCCCGACGUCCUCGUCGGCACACUCGCACCACAAGGCAGAGUGGCUCUGAUACCAAAUUGUCACAUUCCGAGAUCGGCUUCGCCGUAGCACGAUAUUGUCCGUUUUGGGCCCCCCUCUCUGCCCUCACGGUUUUGUUUUCGGGAGCUCACGAGCAACUUCCCAGUGGGUCACUCAUCCUAGGAUUGCUCUAGCUCCAACUUGCUUAACUUCGGAGUUCCUAUGACUCCGAAGCUAGUGAGCUCUCAAAAGGCUUCAUGCUAGAUGAAGGUGAGCAUGUACAUAUAAGGCACAUCACCCACUCUCCGUUGGUUAAUGUGGGAUGUUACAAUCGACAUGGAAAGUAUGAGUAUUUCUGUAUUGGAGGUCAAUUUCCUAGCAAGUCGAAGUGGUAUAUUCAAGACAAGGCAAUAAUAGAGUUUCCUCAUCUCACAAUUUAGCUUGACUAGGAGCUCAAGCAUCUUAAAUGGGAGAGCCAUGUUCCAAGAGGAUCUACCAACAGAAAUAAACAUAAUAUAAUAUAAUUAAUUAAUUAUAUUAUAUUAUAUUAUUAAAUUAUUUAAAAUCAUAAAAACAAAUGGUUUAUAAUGAGUUGUUAUAAACCAUAAGAAGUUAAUGGCUUUAAAUGAGUUAGAUUUUAGGCCAUUCAUUCUCAAUGGCUCAAAAUAAUUUACUAUUUUAAUUUAGUUAAUUUUAGCAACCAAACCUUGUAUAAAUACGUAAGUUAUUCAUUGAAAUGAAUCAAGCAAUCCUGAAAGCAAAACUCAAAGCAAUUCCUUUGCUUCUUCCUUUUGUUUCUCUAAUUGUCUUAAAAUUCCUCUCGUUCCCUUAUUCCUUUAAACUAGGAAUUCAUAGUUCUAUCAACUAGAAGUUUUGAAUCACUCAUACCAUGCCAAAUCAUUGUAGUCAAAACACUUAAGCAUAUCAAUAACACGCCAUGCCUAAAGCUAUCUCACAAGCUAGCUCCAAGCAAUUAUGAACUAUCAAGAUUAUCUAUGCCCAAAACAAAACAAAGUUCAUGCAAUUCUUUCAAGCAAAACAAGCUAAGAAAAUUAAUCAUGUCAAACAAAAAAACAAUCCCAUGCUAGGCUAAACUCACGCGUUGCCUUACCAUGACGAAAGGAGACAUGUUGUUGCAAAGACAAAGUACUAUGCCACUUCGCACACCAGUUUUUAGGCAUGUUUAAUUGAUUAUUUGGCCCAUCUCAUUGUCACUUUAUUGCCCCAAAAAUCAAGGGGACUAAUGUUGAGGCCCAAAAGCCAUUAAAACCCAAUAUGACAUACAAAAUAGGGGAUAAAUUAGUCAUGUAUUAUGUAACAUCCCACAUCGACUAACGGAGAGGGGGUGAUGUGCCUUAUAUGUACAUGCUCACCUCCAUCUAAUACGAGGCCUUUUGGGAGCUCACUGGCUUCGGAGUCAUGAGAACUCCAAAGUUAAGCGAGUUGGGGCUAGAGCAAUCCAAAGAUGAGUGACCUACUGGGAAGUUGCUUGUGAGUUCUCAGAAACAAAACCAUGAGUGCAGGGGGCCCAAAGCGGACAAUAUUGUGCUACAGUAGAGCCGAUCCAGGAUGUGACAUAUCCAAUUAUAUUUUCAACAAAAUAAAUAUGUACGCAAGCUUUUAUACAAAUUUUAAUAGUAUCCAUGUCAUGCCAAAACCCUAUUCCUUCAAUUCUUAUAUGUCACUAAGGUAGGUCACAAAAGCCCACGUCACUAUAACACAUACCCAAGCAUUCCAAGCACACGCCAAAUAACUCCAUGUCAUGCUAAUAUAUUUUUCCUAUGCCAAUCACCUACCAAGCUCACAUGAACCCAAAUAAUGUGGUUCACAGGGCUUGCACGAGGGAUUGUAGUAUGGAAGGUUAUGGAGGUCCACAAGGCCCACGAAAGCUCUUAGAUAAUGGAGACUUUGGGCUAGUUACUUGGGGGCACCUUCGGGAUGCUUUGGGCCUAGUUCUCGCUAACUCAGAAAAAGAGGGAAUGAAGGCCUGAUUCACCACUUUAUGGCAGUCCAAGAAUGAACAAGCCCGGACAAGCCUUCUGACGAAAAAAGACCCCUACCGGAAUAAUCCUUAUUCCAAUACAUACAACCUCGGUUGGCUAAACCAUCCAAAUUUUUCAUGGAGCAAUAAUCAAAAUGUGUUGAGACCACCACCUGGCUUUCCACCUCAAGAGAAGAAAAUAAAUAUGGAAGAUGUGCUUACUCAGUUGAUUAUGUCUACCACCCAAUUUGGACACAAAAAUCCAAUUUCAGAAUCAGCAUGCUUCUAUUUGGAAUUUGGAGGUGCAAGUAGGCCAAUUAGCUAAUGUAACAAGUGGAAGAAACCAAGGAGUAUUGCCAAGCCAAAGCAAAAAAUAAAGAACAAGCAAAGGCAAUCACUCUUUGUAAUGGGAAGUAAGUGAAUACAGCGGCCGACUUGGAAAAAUAAGAAUUAGAACAAAGUUUAUUUCACAUUUGAAGAUGAUCUGAUACGGCCGUUCGAUUUCAAGACGAUCUAUUUCCUGGGGGGCGCAAAACAGAAAAGUGUGAGUGGACAAAAACAAAGUUUAUAUCACAUUUGAAAACAACAUAAUAUAACCCCCAUGGUUUAGAAAACGAUAUGCAUUCAAACCGAUGUAGCUAUAUAUGUAUAUAUAGUCUAGACAAAAUCAUAAUGAAAUCCGUGAUCUUAUAGUAGUACACCAUCACCAAUCCCAUUCCAAAAGCUUUCCUAACUACUCUCUCGAAACGAGUGCAUGUUGGCAUGGCGAGCCAGGAAGUAUCCUCUUCGACAAAUAAGAAUGAAAGGAUAGGUACAUAUAUAUAUAUAUAAGUAUGACCACUACCAAACUUAUACUGGGGAAACAAUCCAACUGGGGGAUUGUUUGACUAGUCCACAUAGAAGAAUCCUCAAUUGACCAUGUGGCUAGGGAACAAGCCGUCCAACCGGGGGACUGGGCUCACCAGCACGUACAGCAGAAUCCUCAAUACUCAUACGCAUGUGACAAGUCCUAUGCGCGCAAACUAACCCCACUAAGGAUCUAUAAAAUACCCCGUCAAGGGUGCCUGGGUUCCAACAUAUCCAAGUACCAAAACAUUCCAAGUAUCCAAUUCCAGUAUUCCAAUUCCGGGGAGGUACAUAGUGUAGUGCUUAUAGCACUUCAAACUGACAUAAACUAUAAUCCACUCUCUUUCCAUAAUCUCAUUACCAACACCCCACGUACCCCACACAUAACCAAGCAUAGAUAGAAAUUCUAGAAAAUAGUAUGUAUCAACUCAUGAUAAUCAAAAUAUGCCAAUAACCAAAUGUAUUUCAAAUACUUCAUAAAAAUAUCAAGUUUCAAUAAUUAAAUUAUAUAAUAAACUCAAUAAACAAUAAAUCAUCAUGCAUAACUUUCCGUCUUAAAAAUAAUGCUUUUUAUUUGAAAACAAAGUCCACUCACAGAAAGUCAAACGCUACUUGACCCUGAAAGGGUCCCGCCUGCUGGGUACGCUGAGCUGGAGUACAUAUUUAAAAAUACAAGGGCGAGAUUAACAUAAAUUAGUUCGAACGAGAACUUUAAAAUAAAAUCCUAGUUUUCCCAGGAUUUAAGUGUGUACGACGAACAAGAAGUUCCUAAGGUUCAACUACGUGUUUCGAAUGGUGGAAUAGCCUCAGGAGAUGCUCAAUCAACCGAGUGGUCAAACUUUUCAAAUUUGGUCAACCAGGCUCGUGGGGCCCAUCACCUUCGAUUUCCGAUUCGAAAGUUACUACGAGUUCAACAAGGUUUAUUAUACAUGUCCUGCAAAUUUGGUCCGAAUCGAAUGAUCGGAUCGCUCACGAUCGGACGAUUACCAUUUAACUUAAUCUUUAAAUCAUUGAAUCGAAGCAUCCGGGGCUUCGAUUCACGAUCCGCGAAUUCCUACACGAUCCUAGAAGUGCCUAGAUCAAUAUAUAUAUGAAAAUGGAGUCGAACCAACGGUUCGAAUAUAUCGAACCCGGAUAACUCCUAAUAUGCGUAAUCCAAUCGAUGGUCAAAUGAUAACCAAAUUCAAAUCCGAGCAUACCGUCGUGCUCGGAACAACAUGGAAAUCAUUUUAGGACCAAAUGGGUCACCCAAAUAGUGCCCACGUACCUCCACAUGCGCCACUAGCGUGUGGGUGCCCUGAGAAAUUCCGGCGACCGGAAAAUUCUCGAAACACCCAACAAUACCUAUAUCUACAUGACCAGGACAACGAGUGGAGCAACUUUUGUUCUUGGACCAUGGCCAAAAAGCGACCGGAACUUGCCGGAAACACGAGUCAAAAAUCAGCCAAACUUUAAGCAAUAAAUCGAGUUCCAAAAUGCUAUAAUCUAUCCUAAUCAAUGCAACCAUCAACUAUAACACAACGAGAGGAUGAAAAAGCAUACAUAGAUUGAAGAAAUUGGUGGCUGGAAUCGCCGGAAUGAACAUCGAAAACUUUGGGUCAAAACCAAUCAGUUUUCUUGAUAUUCCGGCGACGGUGGUUGGCUGUGGAGGCGGCGGAAGGGUAGGAUGGAGAGGAGGUGGAUGUGGUUCUUUUGGUACCGGCCUUUUGGUCAGAGGUGGACGGUGGCGGUGGCGGUGGUUGCAAAUCCAAUCUGCCGAAACGAAGAGGGGUCAGUUGCACGCGGGAGAGAAAAAUAUCGAGGGGGGGGGGGGGAAGAGAAAGAGAGAGAGUGAACCAGGAUUAUAAAAAAAAUCAGACUUUGAAUUAUUUACGGUUGUGACACUGGGCUUCUGUGGAUCAUAACUUCUUCGUUUCAACUCCGAUUUGAGCCCACUAUAUGUCUACGAACUCGUAUUGACGCGAUCUAUGCAAUAGUACCAUUUAACUCCCCAAAAUCCUUCCGAAUUAAAAAGUGAACAAAUUAACCCUAUCCCUGAGGGCAAAAUUGUAAUUUCAUCAUUAAAUAAAUAAAUAAAUUUUAAAUGGACAAUAAAAUAAGGUCGGGGUGUCACACGACAAGCCUCAAAGAUCCUCGUUUGCUAAGAAUAUGGCAAAGCAUGACAUUUCAUGACACGCCAAGCCUCAAACAGCCUUGCUCUAAAAGCCUCAAAUAGCCUCACUUGCCUUGAAUAUGGCAAAGCAUGUCAUGCCAUGGCGUGACAAGCCUCACAUAGCCUCACUCGACAAACCUGAAAUAGCCAAGCUAGCCUUUAGUAUGAGAAAGAAGGCCAUGCCAUGGCACGCCAAGCCUCACAUAGUCUUGCUCGACAAGCCACAAAUAGCCAAGCUUGCGUUGAAUAUGGAAAGCAUGCCAAGACUCACAUAGCCUCGCUCGACAAGCCUCAAAUAGCCAAGCUUGCCUUGAAUAUGGCAAGCAUGUCAUGCCAUAAUACCCUAAGCCUCACAUAGCCUCGCUCGACAAGCCUCAAAUAGUCUCGAUAGCCUUGAAUAUAGCAAAUUAUGCCACCUAUGGCAUACCAAGCCUCAUAGCCUCCCUCGACAAGCCCCAAAUAGCCUCACUUGACAAACCCCAAAUAGCGUUGCUUGCCUUGAAUAAACCAUCCCAUGCCAUGUAACGCCAAGCCUCACAUAGCCUCGCUGGACAACCCUCAAAUAGCCUCGCUUACCAAUAAUAUGGCAAAGCAUGCCAUGCCAUGACACGCCAAGCCUCACAUAGCCUCACUCGACAAGCCUCAAAUAGCCUCACUUGCCUUGAAUAUGGCAAAGAAGACCAUGCCCUGGCACGCCAAGCCUUACAUAGCCUCGCUUGACAAGCCUCAAAUAGCCAUGCCUUGCAUAGCUUCGUUCUACAAGCCUCCAAUAGCCAACUUUGCAUUGAAUAUGGCAAAGCAUGCCAUGCCAUGGCACGCCAAGCCUCACAUAGCCUUGCUAGACAAGCCUCAAAAUAUGGCAAAGCAUCUCAUGCCAUGGCAUGCCAAGCGUCGCUCGACAAGCCUCAAAUAUCCUCGCUUGCUGUGAAUAUGGCAAAGCAGGCCACCCAUGGCACUCCUUGCAUAGCCUCACUCGACAAGCCUCAAAUAGCCUCACUUGAUUUGAAUAUGGCAAAGCAUGCCAUGUCAUGGCACGCCAAUUCUCACAUAGCCUCCCUUGACAAGCCUCAAAUAUCCAAGCUUGCGUUGAAUAUGGCAAAACAUGUCAUGCAUGGCAAGCCAGGCUUCACAUACCCUCGCUCGACAUGCCUCAAAUAGCCUUGCUUGCCUUGAAUAUGGCAAAGCAUGCCAUGUCAUGGCACACAAUUUCCUCGUCUCCACGUCUUCAUGGUUGGAUUUGCAAUACCGAGCUCUAAGUCCCAUAAUUGACCCAGCAGAUGUGGGAUUCCCAUAACAUGAUGUGCGCUGCUGAUCCCAGGCAUGGUUGGUGCCUCACUGCCUCAGCCAUGUUCAGGUGCAAGAUGAGCACUAAAGAGGUGGACGAACAAAUGAUCAAUGUUUAGUACAAGAACUCUUCCUACUUUGUUGAGUGGAUACCAAACAAUGUGAAAUCAAGCGUUUGUGACAUUCCGCCAGAGGGCUAUCCAUGGCAUCCACAUUCAUCGUUUCCAAGAAAUGUUUAGGUGUGUGAGCGAAUAAUUUACUGCCAUGUUCAGGAGGAAGGCCAUCUUGCACUAAUAUACUGGCAAAGGAAUGGACGAAAUGGAAUUCACUGAAGCAGAGAUCAACGUGAAUGAUCUCGUCUCUAAGCAUCAGCAAUACCAGGAUGCGACCGUCGACGGGGAAAGUGAAUACAAGGACGAGGAGGAAGUGAUAAAGGAUAUGUGAAUGUAGAGGUAAAACCUACAGUAGAGUGUGGAUAUGCGGAUGAGAGAUCUUUGCGUGUCACUUUGUGUAUUGAGGGAAGAUAAUGAGUCUUAAAACCUCACUCGUCUUUGCUAUUAAUUGCGUACAUUAUUAAUUUGUUCUUGGGCACAACUAUAUUAUUACGCAUACGUUAUUAAUUUGUUUUGGGCUACAAUUGGUCAUGCUUGGUUAAUUAUAUAUGUUAACAGCUAGUUUAUUUCAUAAUAUAGCUACGUCGAAAGAUAUUUCAAAUUUGAACCUCGGCUUCCAAAAAAAUAUAAUGAACCUCGGCUUCCAAAAAAAUAUAAUAAAAUUGAUGCUAUGGAUAUUAAAACGAAAUGUGAAAUUUUGAAUCUCGUUUAUUUAUAUGAAGUAAGUUAUAUACCAUGUUGAUAACUUAGAUUGAAGAGUUUUUUUGUUUUUUUUUUUAAAUGAACUAAAUAUCUCUUCUAAUAACCCCUAACAUAUCAUCAAUCAAGAAGGAGCUAAUCCAGAUAGGCGCAGAGGCGAAAUAGCACACUCCCAAGUAGAUCAAACUAGCAACGAGUGGAAAAGGAUUAUCUCAAGCAUAAUGAACAAUUGCACAGCCACAAUCGAAUCCAUGUCAACAAUAAGAUGAGAGAGACUUUUGUCCACAGCAAGUUUCAGACUAAAGAACAAGCCCCAAAUCUCCGCUUCCAAUAUUUGGCAUAUCCCCAAAUUAACAGUAAAACCUCUAACCUAGUCCCCAUUAGAAUUACAAAUUAUACUCCCAGCACCAAUAUUCCCAGAAACUGACUUUCGAGAUGCAUCCACAUUCAAUUUAAAGGAACCCAUUCCAUACUCAAUUUUAUCAUAUCCUUGUUACUAAACCUUUUUUUUAUCACUAUAUACUAAUUUCUUAAAAUAUUAGCACAUCAGUCAAACCGAACCAUAGACAUCCAGCAGAAGACAACGGAAGACCCAUGGGGAGGGAGACCAACAUGAGAAGAAGAUGUGAUCAGGUCGGAGAGAACAGUGGUUGUGGAGGAUGACUUAGUAGUCGACACUUUGACGUGGUUGAUGAUAUCGCCACUGAAGCUUGUAACUUGGCGAUGUCGGUGGACAUAGAUGACAAUGAUGUCUGGAAUUCAGUCUUCUGAUCAGCCAUCAACUUUGUGAACUGAUCUUCCAAUCUGGUGACAUCUGCAAAAAAUUUCACCUCAAACUCCUAAUACUGUCCAACCAAAUUGGCAACGGUUAUAUUGGGAGCCAUGACAAGCAGCACAGGCAAGUAAGCAGAGGAACCGCGGUGAAGCAAGAGGCUCUGAAUACCAAUUGAUUUGCAACAACCCCUAGGGGUAUGAUUAAACACUCGAAACAAUAGAAAUGAGAAGAAUAUAGGGGGGUCAAGGAGAAGAAAAGUUAGAUCGAAGGGACGAAAUAAAGGAGAGAAAUCAGAGAACUGAGAAGAAAUGACAGAAAUCAUAAAGUUUUAAGAGAGGGUUCAAUAUCCAAACCUGAAGUUUAAAGAACUACAUGGGGUAUUUAUAGCAAACUAAGACAUGGAGACAACAGGAUAAAAAUCCCUAAGCUAAAACAAAAAUCCUAACCCAAAUAAAAUAGAAAACUUAGAUAUCCUACAAGAAUUUGGAAAACUGGAGAAUUUAGGAAACUAACAAAUAAAUUAGGAAACAAUCAACUUAGAUCCUAUGCAUCCCGCAUCAAUGAAUUGGACAUGUUGGCUCCAUUUACCUUUCUAACGAUAGGGACGAUUUGGAAGUGUAGAGGGUAACCUUAAGGACUAUUAAUGUCACAAAAAAAUGCUUAAAGGAUAAUUUGUAACCUGUAAAAAGCCUUUUUCCUAAAGCAAAAGCCAAAAACAAUUCUCACAUUUUCAUAACAAGUAACAGUUGCUCAUACGUACUGAAUAAAUUAGACUCUACUUCAGGGAGACAAAAUAUGUGUCAAGUAAACAACAAUAUCCGUAAAAUUAACAACUGAGUAACGGAACAAGCAGGUAGCAGAGGUUAAUUACACGGUAGAAGAGGUUCUUGAGUAAUGCAGAAGUUUACAUAUACAAGAACAAUAACAUUUUGUACAGCAAACAGAGAACGACCACUACUUGAAGAUUUUGUGUUGAGUAGC